rnacentral:rRNA from 1 species
UCGAGGAAAUUAUCAAUGCUGUUGCAGUUGAAACGCUCGUAGUUGAGCCUUGCGCAGCCGCGGCGGUGCCCCGCAAGGGGCGACUGUCGCGCUGCGCGUGCGCGUGGAGACACGGCGGGUUACUGUGAGGAAAUUAGAGUGUUCAAAGCAGGCGUUUGCUUGAAUAUGUCAGCAUGGGAUAACAGCCGUGCGAGCGGCCG